GGCCACAUGUCCGAACAUCAUUGCAUCGGAGCUGCUCAUGCAAAUGACGGUGAGGUGGCAUGAUCAGAAGCAGGUGCGUCAAACCGUCCGAUCAAUGGUUGGUCCGGAUGUUACCAUGUGUCGUCAUCUGAUGAGAUUCUGAUUCGACCGAUUUCAUUUGGACCAUUGAUGGAUCUUAUAUAUAUAGGGUCACUUUCAGUCA
rnacentral:lncRNA from 1 species